AUCCUUACCUGCCAGGGGAAAUACCAUGAUCACUAAGGUGGUGGACCUAAGGCGAGGCUCAGUCAUUGCACUCGAGGUUGUGCUGAUCCUUGCGAAUUAGGAGACUUUCCACCUCCCACCCUGGCUCCAGAAGAACAACAUGGUGACGCCUGCAAAAC
rnacentral:snRNA from 1 species